UACGAAGGGGGCUAGCGUUGCUCGGAAUCACUGGGCGUAAAGGGUGCGUAGGCGGGUCUUUAAGUCAGGGGUGAAAUCCUGGAGCUCAACUCCAGAACUGCCUUUGAUACUGAGGAUCUUGAGUUCGGGAGAGGUGAGUGGAACUGUGAGUGUAGAGGUGAAAUUCGUAGAUAUUCGCAAGAACACCAGUGGCGAAGGCGGCUCACUGGCCCGAUACUGACGCUGAGGCACGAAAGCUAGGGGAGCAAACGGG
rnacentral:rRNA from 1 species